UACGUAGGGACCAAGCGUUGUUCGGAUUUACUGGGCGUAAAGGGCGCGUAGGCGGCGCGGUAAGUCACUUGUGAAAUCUCUGAGCUUAACUCAGAACGGCCAAGUGAUACUGCAGUGCUAGAGUGUGGAAGGGGCAAUCGGAAUUCUUGGUGUAGCGGUGAAAUGCGUAGAUAUCGGGAGGAACACCGGUGGCGAAGGCGGCCUUCUGGACGGAUACUGACGCUGAUACGCGAAAGCGUGGGGAGCAAACAGG
rnacentral:rRNA from 1 species